UUCAACCUCACUCUCGCCACAUUUUACUCCUCGCCCGCUCUAGAUGUGUUAACAGUCUCUCAGUCCACCGAUCUCCGGCUAGAUGGAUCUGUCGGCGGUCAGCGAGGAGCUCGCCUACAUCGACGGCCAGAUCACCGACAUCCUCCGAGCGCUGUCGAAUGGGUUCCAGAAGCUGGACAAGAUCAAGGAUCCGAGCCGGCGGAGCCGGCAGCUGGAGGAAUUAACCGACAAGAUGCGGGAGUGCAAGAGGCUGAUUAAGGAUUUUGAGAGGGGGGCGAAGGAGGAGGAGAGCCGGAGUGCCCCGGAUGCCAAUAGGAUGAUUCAUGAGAGGAAGCAAUCGAUGAUCAAGGAGUUGAAUUCAUUUGUUGCCCUCAAGAAGCAAUAUGCAAGUAGUCUUGAAAACAAACGAGUUGAUCUCUUUGAUGGUCCUGGUGGUGGAGAUGGGUUUGG
rnacentral:misc_RNA from 1 species